rnacentral:rRNA from 1 species
UACAGAGGGGGCAAGCGUUGCUCGGUAUCACUGGGCUUAAAGGGCGCGUAGGCGGUGCGGUACGGUUUCGGUGAAAUCCCUCGGCCCAACCGAGGAACAGCCGGGGCUACGGCCGCGCUAGACGGCAUCAGGGGACAGUGGAACUCCCGGUGGAGCGGUGAAAUGCGUAGAUAUCGGGAGGAACGCCGGUGGCGAAAGCGACUGUCUGGGGUGCCUGUGACGCUGAGGCGCGAAAGCCAGGGGAUCAAACGGG